rnacentral:rRNA from 1 species
GAUGAACGCUGGCGGCGUGCCUAAUACAUGCAAGUCGAGCGAACGGACGAGAAGCUUGCUUCUCUGAUGUUAGCGGCGGACGGGUGAGUAACACGUGGAUACCCUACCUAUAAGACUGGGAUAACUUCGGGAAACCGGAGCUAAUACCGGAUAAUAUUUUGAACCGCAUGGUUCAAAAGUGAAAGACGGUCUUGCUGUCACUUAUAGCUGGAUCCGCGCUGCAUUAGCUAGUUGGUAAGGUAACGGCUUACCAAGGCAACGAUGCAUAGCCGACCUGAGAGGGUGAUCGGCCACACUGGAACUGAGACACGGUCCAGACUCCUACGGGAGGCAGCAGUAGGGAAUCUUCCGCAAUGGGCGAAAGCCUGACGGAGCAACGCCGCGUGAGUGAUGAAGGUCUUCGGAUCGUAAAACUCUGUUAUUAGGGAAGAACAUAUGUGUAAGUAACUGUGCACAUCUUGACGGUACCUAAUCAGAAAGCCACGGCUAACUACGCG